rnacentral:rRNA from 1 species
AGUGGCGGACGGGUGAGUAACGCGUGGGUAACCUGCCUCAUACAGGGGGAUAACAGUUAGAAAUGACUGCUAAUACCGCAUAAGCGCACGGUUUCGCAUGGAACAGUGUGAAAAACUCCGGUGGUAUGGGAUGGACCCGCGUCUGAUUAGCUGGUUGGCGGGGUAACGGCCCACCAAGGCGACGAUCAGUAGCCGGCCUGAGAGGGUGAACGGCCACAUUGGGACUGAGACACGGCCCAAACUCCUACGGGAGGCAGCAG